GGUAAUAAACACUUGAAACUUCUCUUGCGAUUGGCGUCACGAAAAGGAUUCACCCUUGAGAGACAGACUUGGUGGGAAGGAGAAUCGGUAGUGGAGGUGGCCGGCCUAAAAUAAAAAAGAUUUUCAGACAGCCCAUGAAGAGGAUCUUGACAUCCUCUUGAGACACCUAACAAAAGUUGGUCUGAAGGCGUCCCGUGAAAAGGCACAAAUUGCGCUCCCAGAGUAUUUUCUAUUUUCUCUAUCUAUCAAGUAUGUUUCUAUUACACUCUCAGGUCUGGAGAAAACCAAGGAAGAAGAAAGUCUACAGCAGGCAGUUGAAAUGAUUGUUUAGUGAUAUUAAACAAUAAAAAGUGUUUAUGGUUUAAUAGGGGGGACUGAUGGAUUCUGUUAAAAUGUAACAUGUUUCAAGUUAAACUGUAGUUUGUUUGUAUCCUGUUUAGUGAAUGAUUACUGUGAGUAUUAAUGGAGUUUAGGCCAUGAAACUGUGUGUAUGCUAAUUUGGAAAGGUUGACCUAAUCAGAUAAGAGGAAAUUGCCUAGGAUCAGGGAGCAGGGUCAGGCCCAGGACAAUGAAGAUAGACGGGGUGUGAUUCUGACAUCUAGCUAACCAAAGAGAGGACCAUGGACAUUCCACAGGGGAGAGAAGGGAAACUCAUUGGGGUCAUAAAAUGUAUAGCUGGGGAGGUGACACCUACAAGAGGGUGGUGACCAAAAGGAGGGAGGAGUAUAAGAUGUGUUGUGAACUUUCUAAAUGUAUGCACUCAGUGACG